rnacentral:rRNA from 1 species
GACAGAGGCCUCAAGCGUUAGGCGGAAUCACUGGGCUUAAAGCGUGUGUAGGCGGAUCGUUAAGUGUCUUGUGAAAUCCCACGGCUCACCCGUGGAACUGCUGGGGCAUACUGGCGAUCUUGGGCCAACUAGGGGCAGCCGGAACAAGCGGUGGAGCGGUGAAAUGCGUAGAUAUCGCUUGGAACGCCGAAGGUGAAAACAGGCUGCUGGGGGUUGUGCCGACGCUGAGACACGAAAGCCAGGGGGAGCAAAACGGGG